rnacentral:rRNA from 1 species
UUUGUAACGGAGAGUUUGAUCCUGGCUCAGGACGAACGCUGGCGGCGUGCUUAACACAUGCAAGUCGAACGAUGAAGCGGUGCUUGCACCGUGGAUUAGUGGCGAACGGGUGAGUAAUACGUGAGUGACCUACCUUUGACUCUGGGAUAAGCCUGGGAAACUGGGUCUAAUACCGGAUACGACCAAUCUCUGCAUGGGGUGUUGGUGGAAAGCGUUAUGGAGUGGUUUUAGAUGGGCUCACGGCCUAUCAGCUUGUUGGUGAGGUAAUGGCUUACCAAGGCGACGACGGGUAGCCGGCCUGAGAGGGUGACCGGCCACACUGGGACUGAGACACGGCCCAGACUCCUACGGGAGGCAGCAGUGGGGAAUAUUGCACAAUGGGCGCAAGCCUGAUGCAGCGACGCCGCGUGAGGGAUGACGGCCUUCGGGUUGUAAACCUCUGUUAGCAUCGAAGAAGCGAAAGUGACGGUAGGUGCAGAGAAAGCGCCGGCUAACUACGUGCCAGCAGCCGCGGUAAUACGUAGGGCGCGAGCGUUGUCCGGAAUUAUUGGGCGUAAAGAGCUUGUAGGCGGUUGGUCGCGUCUGCUGUGAAAGGCCGGGGCUUAACUCCGGUUUUGCAGUGGGUACGGGCUAACUAGAGUGCAGUAGGGGAGACUGGAAUUCCUGGUGUAGCGGUGGAAUGCACAGAUAUCAGGAGGAACACCGAUGGCGAAGGCAGGUCUCUGGGCUGUAACUGACGCUGAGAAGCGAAAGCAUGGGGAGCGAACAGGAUUAGAUACCCUGGUAGUCCAUGCCGUAAACGUUGGGCACUAGGUGUGGGGACAUUCCACGUUUUCCGCGCCGUAGCUAACGCAUUAAGUGCCCCGCCUGGGGAGUACGGCCGCAAGGCUAAAACUCAAAGGAAUUGACGGGGGCCCGCACAAGCGGCGGAGCAUGCGGAUUAAUUCGAUGCAACGCGAAGAACCUUACCAAGGCUUGACAUGCAUUAGAUCGCGUCAGAGAUGGCGUUUCCCUUCGGGGCUGGUGUACAGGUGGUGCAUGGUUGUCGUCAGCUCGUGUCGUGAGAUGUUGGGUUAAGUCCCGCAACGAGCGCAACCCUCGUUCUAUGUUGCCAGCGGUUCGGCCGGGGACUCAUAGGAGACUGCCGGGGUCAACUCGGAGGAAGGUGGGGAUGACGUCAAAUCAUCAUGCCCCUUAUGUCUUGGGCUUCACGCAUGCUACAAUGGCCGGUACAGAGGGUUGCGAUACUGUGAGGUGGAGCUAAUCCCUUAAAGCCGGUCUCAGUUCGGAUUGGGGUCUGCAACUCGACCCCAUGAAGUCGGAGUCGCUAGUAAUCGCAGAUCAGCAACGCUGCGGUGAAUACGUUCCCGGGCCUUGUACACACCGCCCGUCAAGUCACGAAAGUUGGUAACACCCGAAGCCGGUGGCCUAACCCUUGUGGGGGAGCCGUCGAAGGUGGGAUUGGCGAUUGGG